rnacentral:lncRNA from 1 species
AGGUGUGGUAUGUGAUCACAGGCAACUCAGGAACAGCUCUCCAGCCCCAGGACUUCUGCUGGAACCGCUGGGAGUUGGAAGCUUUCUUCCCACUGAGGGGCAAACCUUCUAGGUAUCUGAAGAUGUUGAAGACCAUUUCCUGGAACAGCAGAGGUAAAUGCCCAGAGGAUGAGAACACAUAGCCAUUAGGAGAGCCUGAAAGUUCAGUGUGACUGAAAGAUGAAGUUCAAGAGAAGGGACAAACUGCAAAACACAAGCUGGAGAGUUUUAGGUAAGAGUCAUAUCACAAAAAGCCAUUAAGCAUUUUAAAAUGCUUAGCCUUUAUCCAAAGACUAAUGGAAAGGCACUGACAUGACCUAAUCAUGAAUGAGAAGAUUUGAUUAAAUAUAUCUCUCUACAAUGAUGGAGAAUGGACCAAAAGCAGGCGGGGACAAGGACAGUAAACUCUGCUAGGGACUGCUAGAAUGACCCUGAAAGAAUAGCCCUGAAGAUAGAAAGAAGUAGAUAGUUGCCAAAGAUACCUGUGGAAUACAAAAGUACCAGUGCCCACCAGAUCAAACUACACAUGGAUCUGAAUCUCAGAAAAGGGCUCCGAGCUAGGGAAAGAGAUUUAGAAGCCUUCAGCAGAGAGAUGAUGUUUUAAGCCUUAGGAGUGAAUGAAAUUACCCAGAGAACAUGCAUGAUGAGAAGAGAACCUGGAACAGCAGGGGCCAAGAUUUAGGAUCUGUCAGACAACGAGGAGCCCAAGACUGAGACCUGUUAAUCCAAAAUGCACCAUUUUGUAAGCUCCCUGCCAAUAUGCAGACCUUGGUCAAAGUGAAACAUUCCACGAGGGUUCGGGCCAUGAGAACCUGCCUGCCCAACCGCCUGACUUUAACACAUUCUGCUGAGAAAAAGUCCAAGGAACAUCAUUAUUACAUUCUGUGGGAACAAGGCCCCAACUGCCUCAUUGUGGGAACGUCUUCUCAACAUCUUCCCUGGCAGCACGCCAUACUGCCCAGACCCCUCCCUGCCAUACCUACAAGUAUCCCAGCCUGUAAGCAGUGGUGGGCACUGGCAUUAAGCUGGUCCUCCACCUCGGCAGGUUUACCUGGACAUAAAUACCUGCAUUUGCUGUUGAGCCGCCCUCUCGCUCUAUGUGUGUCUUUAACCCUCACCUUCCCUUGGAAACCUAACAAGAAGCAGGAGCCAGGAAGGUAGGAGGAAGACAGAAGCCCAUGGUGUUAAAAACAGCCACAGGAAUUAUGUAGAACAGUGAUUCUCAAAGUGAGGUCCACAAACUCUCGGGGCUCCCAUGACCCUUGUAGGAGGUCCACACAAGCCAAAAUAUCUCUAUAUGGAUACUAAGGUGUUAUUUGUUGAUUUCAUUCUCAUGAGCACAUGAAUGCAGAAUGGAGAUUUCCGGAGGCUACCGGAAAGGUGAUAUUGCAACAAACUGGAGAAACAACAUCAUGAAAUUUCUCCAUUUUAAUUUCUAAUAAAUAUCAAUGUUUAUAAGCAAAAUGGUUUUUUUGGUGGGGUGGUUUUCAACAAUGUAAGGAUAAACAGAUCCUGUGAUCAAAGAGUGAGAACACAGCCAUAGAGAGCUUUACAAAGGGCAUCAGUAUUAAUGUCAAAUGUUACUGAGGCCUCGAGGGAACUAACCAGUCAGAAGCAACCAUCGAAUUUAGUAAUGGACUUCACUCACUUGGUGAAAGCUGUUCCGUGUCAUGGUGGCAGAGACACAGCACAGUGGCUGAGAGUGAGCAGGAGCUGUGGAAGUUGAAUAAUGCCUGAAGGGACCAUUCUUUCUAGAGACUGUGGAAUGGAAUGACUCUCCAGAGCUGCAGAUUGAAGGCAUAUUUUCAUCUGACUUUGGUGAUUAUGUUUCCAAUCUCUCUGGGAAUAAGAUCUCAAUGGCGGGAACACCUUCAUGGCCCCUUUAUAGCUGGUAUGUUUUCUUCUUAUGGACAAUGAGAAACAUGUAAUAAACUGUGUUUCCUUCUCGCUAGGAAA